rnacentral:piRNA from 1 species
UAACUGCUGCUACAAAUUCAGUUCUUGGUAC